rnacentral:lncRNA from 1 species
AUCACUUUCAGUAUUUUCUCAAAGGGGUUUGUGAUAUCACACACCCCAAAAAAGAUUAAGAACCCCUGCAAUAUAGAUUCUGUUUAGAUUUCAUUUUUAGGUAUUUUUUUAUGAUUCUCAAAACUAUUGUUCAUGGGCCUCUGUUUUUAUUCUAAGGAGACAUCAAACUCUCCCAAGAACCUCAGACUGGAGAUUAAGUUGACUGUUUGGCCUUUCUUAAUCAGUAUCUUAGAUACAUCUCAUUAUGAAACUGAAAACUGAAUCUGUUGUCUCCCCUAAACAUGUUAUGUUUUUCCUGUGUCCCCUAUUUCAUUGCAUUGCCUCAAAAAACACCCAGUUGCAUAAAUCCAAAAUCUAUCAGUCAUCCUCACCCUCUCUUUCUUUAAUAUCCCCACUUUCAAUGGGUCCAAAAUCUACUCUCAUUUUUUCUCAAAAUCAAUCCCAUCUCUUUCCUCAAAAUUGCCACUAUACUAAAUUCCAUAAGAAUGACUUGAUCCCUCACUCCAAGAAGAUUUGAGGGCUUAAAGAUUGGUACUGUUUCCUACUCCUUGCAUAGCAUGGGAUGCAAAGAGGACCUAAAAGUCAAGGUGAAGAAACCAACUUUAGACUACCAAUCAGAAUUGGUCAAGGAUUUUCUACACCAUAGCUAAAAUUAAAUCAAUGAUGAACUUUUAUAAUUGGAUGCAGUGAUAAGUUUAAACGCCUUUCUUCAAUUUGAUUUUUGUAGUCUCUUCAAUACUGUGAAAUUUUCAGCACUCACAGUUCUCAAAAGGUAUUGCUCCCAGGUUGAGCUCAUAAAAGGAGCAUUAAUACACGGAGGAAAAAAAUCCAUGUAGAUGAUUGUUUGUUUUUCAGUCAUCUUAAAGCUGGUUUUAAUUGUUCUAAAAUGAAGGCAGAUGCAGUGGACAAAAUAACAUCUUACAUGAAAUGCUUUGGGGGAAUUGUUGGGAAAAGGUAUAAUGGCAGCUACACCCCAAAUAACCCCAGCAUGGCGCCUGAGGAGCUUCUCUUCCUGCCUCUCCCUUUCCUGCCAGCGCCAAUUUCAAAUCUCGCUGGCAGGAAACCUUAGCCCCAAUAAGAACUAAUUUUGUGGGCUCCGGAACUGACAUCUGGAAGAACUUACCAAUAAACGAGUGACAGGUCAUUUAUCUAAGCCCUGUCACCUCUCCUUAGAUCUAUAUAAGCCCACAGCCUUUUGUAAUAAAGUGGAACUCUCCCCAGCGAAGUGUCUUGCUUGGAGGAAUUCUUUCAGGAAUAUCAUGCCUGAAUAGUGUCCUCAAGAGAAAAAAAAAGACAUGAUCAUUUUGGUCCAUUAAAAACUUGUCUGGGGCUGGGGAUGUGGCUCAAGCGGUAGCGCGCUCGCCUGGCAUGCGUGCGGCCCAGGUUCGAUCUUCAGCACCACAUACAAACAAAGAUGUUGUG